CGCAGCUCAGUGUGCUCCAGCAGCCGCGCGUGUUCAACAGCAGCAGUGGGGAACCUCGGUCCCUUUCCCCCCCACACUCUGACCACUAACAGGCGUUUUCUUGGCGAGGCUGGAAACUGACGUGCCUCUCUGCUUCCGGCGCGGGAUAUACAGCUAGACGCCCGCUCUUAAAGGAGACGACUCCGGCAAGGCGUCUAGCCAGGUCGCCAGAAGAGGUGAAGGGGCGGAGCGCAGAAAGGGGCGAGGCCUCUGUUUUGCAGCGCAGAGCUGUCAGGCAGGGGUGCUGCAGUUUGUGCGAUUGGCUGCUGUGCCGCGUAUUAAAAAUGUAGCCCCGCCCCUGGACGGAGUGGAACAGACUAGGCUGUCUGCUUGUUGGGAAGGCAGAGCAGCUCCUCCAGCCUUGGCUGUAGCCGCAGGGUGGAACUGCCAGCCGGCCGAAGCACGUGCAAGUUAUUCCUGUGCUGCCCUGGGGUUUAUGAGCGGCUGUAGACGCGCAACGAAUAGUCGGCCGAAGACUGGCGAAAAGAAAAGGAGUCCCGGCACAGAGUCAGGGCUGCUUUCUGUAUGACGGUUUUCCAUCACAGAUGCCGCUUUUGCAGAGGAAAACGUUUGUGCAAUGCAUACACGAUUUUGAGACCACCAAUUUCAAGACCUUGGGAACAAGAUGAAAAAGCAGUGAUAGAGGCAAGAUCUGCAUCAAGGAAGUGCAUCAAUGGAACUUUGCAGCCAUGUCCUAGCACUGCAGUGCUUGCUGUGUGCCAGCUUGCUUCUCAGCGCAUGAAGCCACAGAGUGCAGUCAACAGAAACAGAUCCAUUGUGGAAAGCUGCCAUCUUUAUGCAAUAUAUAUAUUCUUCCUGUGUCAAGGCUGAGAAGGAGUGCUCUCCUCCUCCCUCCAUGUGGGAGCUCAGUCUUACUAUUUAACCUGUCAAGAAGUUGUCUUAGUAAAAAUGCUUCAAAUGUCUUCCAUCUCUCUCUCUCUCCUCAUUCACUGUUGUCAGCUACGACUUGGCUAAACAGUGUUGGCUAACCAUUAUUUCCUCCCUUGACAGCUGAGAGCGGUUUCUCCCACCCAGGUGGCAUGGGGGCCAGAUGUAUGCUUCCUGCUGAUGAAUGCUGGGCACUCCACUCCAGCAAUUGCUACUGCUGGCCAAACACCCAUGGACCGGUUUGUUUUUCAGAAUUGAGGCCUGACCACAUAGAGCAGAACAGUCACAGCACACCGAGUGCUGCUAGCGUAGGGAAAGGCCUUGCUUCAGUCACUACACACUCUCCCCCAGUAUGGGGCAGGGUGGCUAGGACUGGAGCCUGCAAGGGCACCACUACAUGGGCACUCUGGUAGCACCACUCCCAGUUCAUUCGCUCACAAACACCAACCAGGCUGUCAGGUUCAGAGACCAUGUGUUGCUGCCACUAAUCACUCUCUGCAUCUUUCUUGGCUCUCUGCAGACAUCACUGUCCCUGAACAUCUAUGGGCUGCUGAAUGUGCCUUUUAAAUCCCUUGCAGACAUGGUUCUACUGCCAUCACACAGAGUUUGGCCCAAAGACUGUGGAUUCGAAUGGCUUUGCUAGAGAGUACUCUUCCUAAAAACCAUGUCUUUGUCUUGUCCUUAAAGCUGGUCUUUUGGACAGCUAUUCUCCUGAUGAAGAGCUUCUGCUUGAAACAUUGUGAUU